rnacentral:lncRNA from 1 species
GAAUAGUGUUUAGUCAUUGGAGGUUAGGGAAUUUGUUAGAAGUUGGGGAUCAUCUUAUCGUCAAGUUAAUUAGUGCUAAUUCAGUUAUAAAAGAUAUAGGGCUUAAGGUUGUGUAUGAAGAUGAAGAUGAAGACGAAGACGAAGACGAAGACGAAGACGAAGACGAAGAUGAAGAUGAAGAUGAAGAUGAUGAAAAUGAUGAUGAUGAAGAUGAUGAAAGGAAGGAGGGUACUACAAGUGGACUGUACAGCUUCAACAAGUACCACAACAACAAGAAGAAGAAGAAGG